ACUUGAAUAGAACGGAGUGCUGUAAGCAGUAGAGUAGCCUUGUUGCUACGAUCUGCUGAGGCUCAGCUCUUGUUCUACAGAUUUGUCCUUUUGGACUCUCUAUGUUUGAGAUGGACUGGGGGGUAACUCCAGCAUGUUAACCAUAGACAGUUUAUAAGGAGUUGGUGAUCUGGUGACUUGGUGGCGUGUGUUGGGAGGGUGUGUCCCAGAGAAUGGGAUUGGGGACUCGGGGUCGGAGCUCAGCCUGUCUAGAUUUCAGGUUUCGCACGGUUGCCAAGUCCUGGGAUGGACUGGGGGAGACAAGGCCUCUGCAGCAGGCGAGUCUCCAAGUCUCCAAGUUGCCUGGGGCUGUGUCCAUGCUGCAUCAGGACCGAGUGCUUGAGUGUCUGAGCAGAUGCAUGCAUGCAACUCUGGUGCGGUGGCCAGAGGUCUCAAGGUGACAAAGUUCAGCUGGCAGGCUGCUGGUAGUCAUACCGAGUGCUGAGCACUCCUCUGACUGCAGCACGUCUGCCAGCAUCCUUGUGUGAGCUCUGGGCGACCGACUGGCUUAUAGGGCAAGUUCCAACAUACUGUCAUCUACGGCCAUAGGAUCCAGAAAAUACCGCAUCCCGUCCGAUCU
rnacentral:misc_RNA from 1 species